rnacentral:lncRNA from 1 species
GCUGGCAGCUGCAGCUCCCGUUUGACCCCUAGCCUGGGAACACCCAUAUGCUGCAGGUGCAGCCCUAAAAAGCAAAAUACAUACAUACAUACAUGCAUACAUACAUACAUAAGAGGGAAAAAGCAUUACUUAUGUUUGCCUAGAUGAGGUAAAAAGGCUGAACUAGAAUAUUACAGAGAUUGAGGAUAGUUAUGUCUUCCAGAGAACUGGCCCCAGAUCUCAACAUGUAAUACAAGGUAGACCUGGAGUUAAAUUCUGAGAUGACCUGGGUUUGCUAAACUCAAGCGUUAAUCUUGUGAUUUAGAAAAUUCGAUCAAAGUAGCUUUUGUUCUUCUCGACUAGGGAAUUUUCUUUAUUAAAGUUCUUUUGAAAAUGUUACCUGGAAUUUUAUACAUUUCCCUUUUCUGAUCCUUCUUUGAGUGUCAUGUAUCUUUUCCAUGUUACUCACAAUAAAUUGGGUAGGUGCCUCCAUGCAAGAAAAAGGAUGUUUUCUACUGUGUUUGCAGUACCUCUGUGUGGAAGCCUGUUUUUGCUGAAAUCUUUUUAUUAUUCCAGCUCACUGUAAUGAAAUCUAUAAAGGAUUCCCAUUUAAAAGAAAGGAAGGGAGUUCCCGUAGUGGCUCAGUGGCUAAUGAAUCCAACGAGGAACCAUGAGGUUGCGGGUUCGAUCCCGGGCCUUGCUCGGUGGGUUGAGGAUCCGGCGUUGCCGUGAGCUGUGGUGUAGGUCACAAAGGUGGCUCAGAUAUGGUGUUGCUGUGGCUGUGGCGUAGACCAGCGGCUGCAGCUCCGAUUAGACCCCUAGCCUGGGAACCUCCAUAUGCCGCAGGAGCGGCCCUAGAAAAGGCAAAAAGACAAAUAAAUAAAUAAACAAAUAAAAGGAAGAUAAAAGGAACAAUACAUAAAUGUAAACCAAUUCAGAACUCUCAAAUUAUUUUUAAAAUUUUUACAUAUGCAUCAAUAAAACAUACUUGCAUAAAGUUUUAAUGGGAAAUAUUUAUCAAUCCCCUUUUCAAAAAUAUAAGUGCACAAGUGUUGGUAGCUAAAAAAGAUGAAAUUUGUUGAAUCUCUGGACUUAUGAAAAUACUUAUUUUUGGGAGCUAUUAUAUAAGUGCACAAGUGUUGGUAGCUAAAAAAGAUGAAAUUUGUUGAAUCUCUGGACUUAUGAAAAUACUUAUUUUUGGGGGCUAUGUGUCCUCUUUGACACAAAUAUAUCUGAUAUUCUCAAUGAAAUUGCUUACAAAAUAGGACUAAAUCUGCCCGAAUUUUAUGUUAGACAUCCUCAAUGAAUGUAGCAAGGAAGAAGAGCUGGAAGUGGAACCUAAAGGAUACUGUCUUGGUACCUUUUCAGUAAGUUUUCAUCAGAUUUUAGAGGGUAGAGAUUUAUUAUACUCUUCAAAUAGGAUUCAUUUACCCUGAUUCAUCUUUCCUCGUUAUACACAGUUAAGCACAGAAAAAAAUUAACAAACUCUUAAUGCCUACUAAUGAUUUGUUUUCAUAUUUGAUUCUUGCUAUUUAUUCUUAGGCCCUCCCAAGUGGAAAUGUUGAAAAUACCAUUCCUUGGCUCUCCCUGGUUGGCUUAGUGGGUUAAGGAUCAGGUGUUGUCGCUUUGUCACUGCUGCGGUUCGGGUCAGUAUUUUGUGUUAUCUCGUAUAUCCAUUAUAGCAUCAGGAGUAAUUAGUACCACACACUAGAAAGCCACCAUCCUAGGAAUGAAUCUCCUGGGUGCUGAGCUCUGAAGGAAAAGUUGAGGGUCUUUAGGGCGGCGAGGUGGUGACUGUAUAACUACAUUACUUCAAUGUUCUGUCUUAUGUGCGGCUCAAGAAAUAUCUGUUUACUUUAAUUGAGUGGGCAUAAAUAGCAUUUACCAGAAAUCCUUUGCUGGCAGCCAGCUGCAUUGGGCUGUGGAGAACCGUAGAGUAUUCUCCCUGGAGUUGGAGGGAACACAACCUCUUUUUAGUGUUCAUCUUUGAUCAAAGGGGAGACUUACAUUGUAAGAUCAGUUAUGAUUUCAUUCUGAUUACCAUUAAGUGGUUUAAUAGAAAACAAAUUUUAUAUUCUCCUAAAGAAUCUAUGGGCAAAAAAGACAAAUAAAGUAAAAUACUGGGUUUUCAGAUAAUUUGUUUUUAGUGGUUUUCAUUUUCUUAAGAAAUUAAGAAUUGCUUUCUUUUUAUGUUUCCAUAAUAGCAAGGCUACUUUGUCAUCUGACUUUCUCUGAUAUAAAACUGGGUGAGCUAGAGGGAAUAUGUAGAAACCAACCCCAAACCACCUGGAUAUAGUUUACUCCGUCUCCAUCAAUCAUUUAUUGCAGACUUGAUAUCUUAAUGUUUCAGCUGUCAGAACACUGACUUUAAUCUAAGGAAGUCUAUGUUUUUGUUUACAUUAUCUCAAUUCCAAGUAUCUAUGGGAAAAAAAUUAUGGGAUGUCAGAAAUAUCGAAGAUUAUUAUGUCUGCUUAAUGAGAUGGAUACUCCCUAAACAAACUAAAGUCAGUGAUACGGAAUGUGAGCAGCAGAAAAACAUUCUAAAGUUAAGGAAGGUGGGAGUGGGGGGAGGGUAGCAGUUUAGGAAGCAGUGAAGUUAGUCUGAGAUAUUUGCUUGGUGUUGGCCUCUGAUGGUCAUGAAGAAAAGGGACUGUCUUGUAAUCCUUUUCUCUAUAUUUUUUCUUUUUAUUUAAAAGUGGCUUUUAUUACUUUUUUAUGGCAGUAUAGUUGAUUUACGAGGUUGUGCUAAUUUCUGCUGUACAGCAGUGACCCGCUCAUAUAUAUACAUUCCACUAUCUUCCAUCACGGGCUGUCCCGAGAGAGUGGAUAUAGCUGCCUGUGCUGCACAGAAGGACCUCUUUGCGUAUCCAUUCUAAAUGUAAUAGUUUGCAUUUUUCAUCUUUCUGAAGAAAGUUCGAUUUUCCCUUGUUAGCCCUGAAACGUUUCUUUUUUCUCCAAAGUUUUACCUUUUCUCUUUAUAAAUGCUCACAGGUCAGAGUCAUGAGCAUCUGGUGCUUGUUCAGUAAAAGAUAGUCAUGUUGUCUUAGAAGAAAGGCCUCAGGUUACUACACAUACUUCCGGUCCCCAGCCUGGCGUCGCUAUGCAGAUGGAGAUUUUAGAUCAUAGCAUGAUUACCUGUGAUACAUUUUCUUGUCUUUCCUUCUUUCUUAAUUUUGCGUUUCUUAAAAUUCCUAACCAAGUGUAUCAUAAGCAUUGCUUAAAAAUAUGACAUAAGUUACUUUUCAUUUCCAAAAACUAUCAGGACAUCAAAGGGAGGCGUUCCUGUCAUGGCUCAGGAGUAAUGAACCCAGGAGGGAUGCAGGUUCAAUCCCUGGCCUUGCUCAAUUGGCUAAGGAUCCGGCAUUGCCUGGAGCUGUGGUGUAGGUUGCAAACUAGGCUUGGAUGCUGCCUUGCUGUGGCUGUGGCCUAGGCUGGCAGAUGUAGCUCUGUUUGGACCCCUAGCCUGAGACUGUCCAUAUGCCAUGAGUGUGGCCCUAAAAAGCAAAAAAAAAAAAAAGGAAGGAAGGAGAGAAAGAAAGAAAGAGAGUCAGAGGGACAACCUCUUGGCAUGGCGUUUCUCAUCAUACUUGUAUAGUUUGAAGAUAGAAUUCUGAAAGAGAACGGUAACCUCAGACUGAUAUUUCAAAGGAGGACACAGUUGUUUUUAAAACCUCAUGUAAUCAUUCAACCUGGCAAGACUAAGGUUCUAAUGCUAUCGGAGUCCACAGUCAUGGGCGAGAAGGUGGGGUCCUCACCCCGCCUUCACCUGAGUGGAAUAAUGGUCCAUGAGACGAGUUUGAAGGAUGCAGCCCAUUGAGAAAAUGUUCCCCAGGGACUUUUUGCCCCUCUGGAGCUACUUACUGCUUCUCCCUAUUAAAUGAGUACUAAUAAAGUUUCUAAUCACUUGAUGUGCUCACCAAAUACCUGAAUUUUUCAGUAUGUCAUUUUCUUUGGGAGAAGCAGCAGCCAGAGACUGCCUGAUGCUUGGAGGGAAAGAUGGCCUUUAAGGAGGAAUGUAGGUACAGAAAGGGAGGCACAGGAGGACAGAUUUAAGUUGCUGUAACUUCCUCUAAGAAUUGACUUGAUAGCAAGCAGAUAAUUCCAUUUUGUGAAGGUCUACAACUUGAAAGCAUUCUGAGAUGUUUGGAGGGGAUGCAUUCAUCUCAAAGUGGAACAGUAAAGAAGAUUGUAAAAGGAAGAUUUCUGAAAGGAGGCUAUGACCAUUUUGAGGAGUAAAGCUAAAAAUAUAGAUUCGUAAAGCAUUUAGCUAAAUUCAUGGAUAAACUAUACUUAUUUAGUUAGGGAGUGUCUGGGUAUGUAUCCCUAAUAUCCUGCAAUUGGUGUUUUGGGAGAGAAAACAGGUAUUGCUUAUCCCAAAGUGCCAUGGUAUCAGGAUUCUUUCAUAAAAUUGAUUAUGGCAUUCUUGGAUUUUUGCAGACUCUCUCUUUGUUAUGCUUUUCAUAUAUAGUGGUUUUAAUUGUGCUUGGUAACAGGUCAAAGAGGAAAUAACUGGUAUGGCUCUAACAAAACAAGAGAUAACAGCCACGUUUUUAUUUAGAGGUGGCAUAAUGCCAAAGGCAUACACUCAGUCCUAUGCACUCACAUUCGCCCACUCGGUCCCUUUGUGCCUGCCCCCGUUUCCUUCCUGCCUUGGCCCUACUUCAUGAAUAAUCAUAGUAUGAAUGAUGAAAUACAGCUAUGAAAUGUUAUGUCAAUUAAAGAGACUUUAUAUGAUGCUAAUUAGAUGAGGAACUGAAGAUGCUUGUCUCCUUUUUCCUCUAAAUUAGUUUUAAUCAAUCUGAACAACAUCCCAAGGAAACAUUUUCAAGGAGAAUUGCAAAAUGGUCAUCAAGAGGAUGAUUUUCCCUGCUCACUAAAUAUGAAAAUCACUAUGCAACAAGUGCAUGAUGUCAAACCCUGGCGUUUAUUAAUAAUGAAAGUAUAGGUCAAAGAGCUCCGGAGCUGGGGGUGGGAGGAUACAUUUAAAACACAUGAUUAAACCUAAGGCACAUUCAGGACUUCACAGUGCUAAUUUACGUAAAAUGAUGUAUUAAAUCUCCACCUGGCAAAGUCAUUUUCAUGUACAAUUCAUUUUCUUGUGUGCCAUGAGAGUUAGGGUUUCUCAUACUAUGAAGAAAUAUAGGGCUCAUUCUGAAAUAUAUAAAAAAUAAAAUAUGCUAGAGAAAAAGGAGUCUGGAUGUCACUUGGCCCACACUUAACGGUGGGUAAGCAUGCGGUUUGGGGCGUCAAACAGACCUUGUGUUCAAUUCCUGUUUCUGGCACCUAACUUACCUUGGGCAAGUUCCUUGGCCUCGGUUUCUCACCAGUAAGAGAGUGUCAUAGAAUUUACCUCACAGGGCGUUUAAAGAAAUAAAUGAGACGAGAUUUAACACCCCUUGAAUCCCUGGAACAGAUGUUUGAGCUAUCACAAGCACUUAGCUAGUUCUAAUACAUGCAUUCCGUAAAUCUUUGUAGCUUGUUUACCUUGUGGAAGGAUAGGACUUUGCUGGAUCCUUUCAAACAGCUUUAAAUGCUAUUUAUUAAAUACGCUAUUAAAUGCUUAUUUUUUCCAAAAAGCAAAGCAAUUUAACUAUGUCAUAUAUUUUGUUCUGUUGCCCUAUGACUUGGACAUGGUGUGUAGACAUGAUGAUAAUGACAUCAUGGAAGUUUUGGAAGUGAAAGCAAUAUUUCCGUAAUGCUGAUAAAAGUAUAUUUAAGCGAACUGGGACCUAACUGUUUUAAUUGCCAGAAAAAUCCAAUUUAUCUUGAAGCAAAUUCUCUGUUCUUAAUUUUCACACACUAAUUUUCCUUCUAUCCCCUAGAGCCAGAGAAUCGAGAUAGCACUUCUACAUGACAGCAGAGAUUUUGCAUCAUAUCCACACCCUUAUAGCCUCAUGUUGUUGUUGUUGUUUAAAUCAUUGUCCCCAACAUAGUCUUUAGUCAUUUAGUUGGUUCUUAAAGGCAAAUACUUAAUUGUUCAAAAAUGGACUGAAGAGGAGUUCCUGUCAUGGCUCAGUGGUUAACGAAUCUGACUAGGAAGUAUGAGGUUUCGGGUUCGAUCCCUGGCCUUGCUCAGUGGGUUGAGGAUCCGGUGUUGCCAUGAGCUGUGGUGUAGAUUUGCAGACAUGGCUCAGAUCCCAGCGUUGCUGUGGCUGUGGCGUAGGCCGGCAGCUAUAGCUCCGAUUGGACCCCUAGCCUGGGAACCUCCAUGUGCCACGGGAGUGGCCCAAGAAAUGGCAAAAAG